UCCUCCUUAGCUCAGUUGGUUAGAGCAUCUGACUGUUAAUCAGAGGGUCGCUGGUUCGAGCCCAGCAGGAGGAG
rfam:Chryseobacterium sp. IHB B 17019, complete genome.